rnacentral:rRNA from 1 species
UACGUAGGGGGCAAGCGUUAUCCGGAUUUACUGGGUGUAAAGGGGGCGCAGACGGCGAUGCAAGCCAGGAGUGAAAGCCCGGGGCCCAACCCCGGGACUGCUCUUGGAACUGCGUGGCUGGAGUGCAGGAGGGGCAGGCGGAAUUCCUGGUGUAGCGGUGAAAUGCGUAGAUAUCAGGAGGAACACCGGUGGCGAAAGCGGCUCUCUGGCCUGUAACUGACACUGAGGCUCGAAAGCGUGGGGAGCAAACAGG